GGAGUUAGCCGGUGCUUCUUCUGUGAGUGAUGUCCUUCCUGCCGGCUAUUAACCCGCAGGCCUUCUUCCUCACUGAAAGUGCUUUACAACCCGAAGGCCUUCUUCACACACGCGGCAUGGCUGGAUCAGGGUUGCCCCCAUUGUCCAAUAUUCCCCACUGCUGCCUCCCGUAGGAGUCUGGGCCGUGUCUCAGUCCCAGUGUGGCUGAUCAUCCUCUCAGACCAGCUACGGAUCGUCGCCUUGGUGAGCCGUUACCUCACCAACCAGCUAAUCCGACAUAGGCUCAUCCGAUAGCGCGAGGCCCGAAGGUCCCCCGCUUUCCCCCGUAGGGCGUAUGCGGUAUUAGCCUGGGUUUCCCCAGGUUAUCCCCCACUACCGGACAGAUUCCUAUGCAUUACUCACCCGUCCGCCGCUCGCCACCAGGGAGCAAGCUCCCCGUGCUGCCGCUCGACUUGCAUGUGUUAGGCCUGCCGCCAGCGUUCAAUCUGAGCCAUGAUCAAACUCUGA
rnacentral:rRNA from 1 species